UUUUUCUCUUUGCUUCUCUCUCUCUCUUUCGAUUCCAACAGAAACACGAAUCGAUCAAAAAUAGGAAGCUAUGCAAUCUCAUCAGCAACCUUGUAUCUCUUGUACUACUUUCAAUAUCCUUGCUCCCAUCUAUAAACGUCUCUCUCCCAAGGAUCAGAGUCUUCGUGAAAGUGAUAAUCGAACGUAUUGGCUUGGAAGGAAUCAUAGAAUCAUUGAUUGGUUAUUAUAUGAGAGGUCUUCCAUCAUUUGUUUACAGGAGUUUUGGGUAGGGAACGAAGAGCUUGUUAAUAUGUAUGAGAAGAGACUUGGUGACGCUGGUUAUCUCAGUUACAAGCUUGGCCGUACUAAUAACCGUGGCGAUGGUUUGCUUACAGUUGUUCAUAAGGAUUAUUUUAGAGUUUGUAGAAUCUUAUCAGAAGGAAGGAGGAAGAAGAGAAGAUGCAGAGCUUAACAUCAAACGAAGUUGCGGGUUUAGUGGUUGGAGCUCUGCUUAUCGGUGCCACCAUCGCUGUUUCUCAGAGAAGAUUUACGAAUGAAAUGCUGGAAGAUGAACUUACUUAGAAAUGUUGUUACGGAAUGGUUAUAUUGUAAUGUGCAUCUUACUAUGGUGGGUUUUCUGUUGGGAAGAAGAAAUUGAAAACGAAACUGACUCCAGCUGCUCAAGCUAUGGAGCUAGACAAUUGACAAGGAACCUCAGUUUUCUUUUCACUUGUAUGUAACCCUCUGUUCUACAUUGUCAUCUUUGUCUCUUUAGUUUCGUUUGAAAAAAUCAAGUUGAAGCUAUAAAUGAUCUGAAGGUACUAAUGUUGUAACAUAGUACAGACUCAACAAAACUCAACAUAGAACAAGAAAUCAAUGUUCAGUUUUGUGUGCAA